rnacentral:lncRNA from 1 species
AAUAACUCCUUUUUUUUUCUAAAAAAAACUUCAAAUACCAUCUCCCUAAUUUCACACUUUUUCACUUUAGUAUCCUAUAGUUUAAAGUGCAUCAAUUUAGUAUCCUGUGAUUUCAUUUUUAUCUUUUAUUAUCAAUUUCACUAAUUUUUUUCGUUAAAUCAGUAACGAAAUUAAAACUAAAUGAUAUUAAAGUGAAUAUUCGAUUAACCUAGAUAGGGUAUCUGAAGUUUUUUUGUAUAUAAUUUAACAAAAUAUUAACAAAAAAGCAGAUGAAAAGAUAAAAAUGAAACCACAUGACACUAGUAUCCUGUGAUUUCAUUUUUAUCUUUUAUUAUCAAUUUCACUAAUUUUUUUCGUUAAAUCAGUAACGAAAUUAAAACUAAAUGAUAUUAAAGUGAAUAUUCGAUUAACCUAGAUAGGGUAUCUGAAGUUUUUUUGUAUAUAAUUUAACAAAAUAUUAACAAAAAAGCAGAUGAAAAGAUAAAAAUGAAACCACAUGACACUAACUUGAUACUAAAGUGAGAAAGUGCGAAACCGCACAGAUGGUAUUUGAAGUUUACCUUUUUCUUUUGCCUUUUCUUUCUUUAUUUUUUUGUUAAAAAUAUAUAAAAUUUAUGACUAAAAUAUAGAAAUUUUUUUAUAAACACUUUUCUUUUCACUCCUUCUUCCUAACUUUUAAAAUUCUAUAUUUUCUCAUGUUAAAAAUUAGGUUGAUAUAUUUUAGGUUCCAUCACUAUUUCGUCAAUUUCUUAUAAUUUAUAUCGAAAAUAUCUUUAAAAAUAACAAAAAUAUAUUAAAAAUUAAUUUUUUAAAGUAAGUGUAAUUUGAUCAUUUCGUUCUCUCCAUUGACGUUGUAAUUCUCUAAAAAUAUUUUUAAAAUUUUUAGGUGUAGGUUUUCGAAAGUUGGGAGAGAAAAGUGAAACAACGAGUAUUUAGAGAAAAGUUUUUUAUAUUUUAGCCAAAUUUUAUCUCAACUAUUUGGAUUUGGCUGCCUAAUCUUUAAAAAUUUUGAUUUUAUUAUCUGAUCUUUUGGCUUAUUUUGAUUUGAGUC